UCCAGACUCCUACGGGAGGCAGCAGUGGGGAAUAUUGCACAAUGGGGGGAACCCUGAUGCAGCGACGCCGCGUGGGUGAAGGAGUGCUUCGGCAUGUAAAGCCCUAUCGGCAGGGAAGAAGCAAGACGGUACCUGACUAAGAAGCCCCGGCUAACUACGUGCCAGCAGCCGCGGUAAUACGUAGGGGGCAAGCGUUAUCCGGAUUUACUGGGUGUAAAGGGAGCGUAGACGGCCAGACAAGUCUGAAGUGAAAAUCCAGCGCUUAACGUUGGAAGUGCUUUGGAAACUGCCGGGCUGGAGUGCAGGAGGGGCAGGCGGAAUUCCUAGUGUAGCGGUGAAAUGCGUAGAUAUUAGGAGGAACACCAGUGGCGAAGGCGGCCUGCUGGACUGCAACUGACGUUGAGGCUCGAAGGCGUGGGGAGCAAACAGGAUUAGAUACCCCCGUA
rnacentral:rRNA from 1 species